rnacentral:rRNA from 1 species
UACGUAGGGUGCAAGCGUUAAUCGGAAUUACUGGGCGUAAAGCGUGCGCAGGCGGUUUUGUAAGUCUGACGUGAAAUCCCCGGGCUCAACCUGGGAAUUGCGUUGGAGACUGCAAGGCUGGAGUCUGGCAGAGGGGGGUAGAAUUCCACGUGUAGCAGUGAAAUGCGUAGAGAUGCGGAGGAACACCGAUGGCGAAGGCAGCCCCCUGGGCUAACACUGACGCUCAGGCACGAAAGCGUGGGGAGCAAACAGG